GCGUUGCUCGCCCUUCGGCGAUGUCGCCGCCCUCCGUGCCGCGCGCCGGCGUUGUCCUCUUCCAGCGCGUUGCCGUGGGCCCUGGUCCAGCGUGCCGCUGCCCGCGGCCCUCGCAGCGGACACCGGCGCCCCCAUCCGGCGCGCCGGGCGGCGUCCUCCUCGGGCGCCAGCUCCGCCCUUGCAGCGGCCGCCUCCGCCCUCCUCUGGCACGCCGGCGCCCUCUUCCUUCGGCACCGUCGCCGCCCUCGGCGCAGGCCGCUGCCGCGGCCCUCUUCCGGCGGCGGCCGCCGCCCGCAUCCAGCGCGCCGACGGCGUCCUCUUCCGGGCCUCCGCGGCCGUCCUCCAGCGUGCCGAAGUUGCCCUUCGCGCCACUCGACGUCACGGCCGUCCCCCGGUGCGCCGAAGUUCCCUUCGCGGCACUCGCCGUCGUGGUCCUCGCAACUGCCCCCGUCGGCCUCCAGCGUGCAGGUCGCCGUCGCGGUCUUUGCACCGGCCGCCGCCAUCCUCCGCGCGCGCCGGCGCCGUCGUCGCAGCGGCCAUCGCCGACCCCUCCCAACAGCCGUCGUUUUUAAGCACGGGUUAGAUUACGUCUGUGCCCUGCCUUCUAAUUACUCCAUCCGGAUACUCCGUUCGUUCAAGUUGGAGUAUUAGGGAGUAACGGUCAAUCUGAGCCAUUAGAUUAAUCUUGUCGAAAGCAGCAGCAUAACGGGCCAGCAUGGCCGCGUCAUCGGAGGCAGCCUCCUCAAACACGACGCCAAGCUUCUUGCAGAUGAGGCGCUUCGCCUUGGACAUGACGUGCACAGGACUAGCCUGCUUGGAAGCCAGUCGGCCACUCCGCCUGACCGGUGCCCGAGCAGUAGCACGAGGAGGGGCGAUGCUCGCCGGCUCCUUAAUCUAUAACUAUAUAUUGAUUGUUUGUACCUUAGUCUAUAUCGUCUUGAUUCUAAUGUUAUAACACUAUUGUCUAUGUUUAGUUCAUUAGAAAUGCCUCAUUCCGUGUUAAUGCUGCUAUUAAUGUGCUGUGCAAGUGUGCAUUACUAUGCUAUGUAUUCUCCUGAUGCUAAUGCUGCUGUUCAUUGUUUUUGCACUAUCUUCUUUCUAAUGUUGCUUCAAAUUGUUAUGCAGUUUCACAGGGUAAAGGUUCAUUUUAGUAGGAAGUAUAUUCGUAGACACCACUUGUUUGUACUUUACAAGUAUGAGGCCGGAGUAACACUGGAAAGUAUUGUAGCCCACCAAAGUCUAGUAGAGGAUGUUACUCCAAAUGCCCAGAAGCCUGGCUGCACAUCUGUUUUUACCCGGGCAAGCCUUUUGGUCCGUGAAAUUGCAGCUGCUUCUGUGAAGCUGGUCAGCGUGAUUCAUGAUUGCGGAUACUCCCUUGAUGGGCGUUUGACGUUCUCAAACUUGUUCUGGAUCCCUGCAACAAAGAGUCUGAAGGUUGGAGCCUUGGAGGUUUAAGAGGGAAAGAUUUCAAGAAGAAGACCCCCUUGAUGGCUGAAAGAGAUUACCAGUCUCUUUCUUUGAUCUUUACCAAGGAGCUUUUCGGGAGUGUGCCAAUUCCUGAUGAGCUGGGAGCUUGGCUGGACUUACUUCGCGAGAACCCUCUGUCACAUGUUGAUCUUAUAACAGAACAUAUGUUCCUGCUGGAAGAUGAUGAGAAGAUGGCAAAAUAUAUCAUCUUGUUUCAGAAGCUGCAGCAAGCGAAAAUAUCAGCUAUGACAUUUACAAGAGUGCAUUGUCAGUCGUCUCAGUUGGCGAUAGCACUGGAAGAUUCAGGUGGAAAGCGGCAGUUCUGCAAAGCUAUUUUCUAGAAGCUGUGAAGAAUUACAAACCGACAGAGUUUUAUGAAGCAGACGCUGAAGGAUUGCUCCUCUUUGGGAGGCACUGUUGCCACCAUCUGUGUGAUUCUUCUGUGAAGACAGUUGAACAUAGAGGCAUCCAUACAGCAGUCAUUGUAAUUCAUGUGUCCGAAGUGUAUUCGCACAUGAAGGCAUUUGUUCCUGGUCUGUUUGCCCAGUUACAGAAGGCCGUGCAUGCUAUCAUAAAGGACCUCAAGGCUGCUAAUUUGCCUAUCCCAAAAUGAGGAACUUCUAUAACGUCCUCAUCUGCAGCUUAUGACUUGCUUUAGUUCAGUACACAAGGAAGCUCUUGGAGUAUCAAGGUUUUGCUCCCUUUCUCCCCUCGACAUGGCGGAACUUCUAUAAUGUCUGUCCUCAUCGGCAGCUUAUGACUUGCUUUAGUUCAGUACACAAGGCAGCUCUUGGAGCAUUAAGGUUUUGGCCCCUUUCUCCCCUCGACAUGGCAGAUGAUCAAUCUCUCCCUCUGGCGGAUUUGGAAGCUCCGUAACGGUUGCGUCUUCGAGGGGGCCUCUCCGGUGGUCGCUCGUCUCGUUGAGGAUAUCUUCGUGGAGGCGGAUCUUUGGCGUGCUGCCAGCGCUCGACAGCUCGACCGCCUCCCCCUUCACUCCCGGCCCCUGAUGCCGGGCUUAGUCCUUCUGUAUAGGGGCCUGGAGCCCAUCCUGCUUUUUGCUGUUUUUGAGCAUUUUUGCUCUUAGGGCUGCCUUUGUACUUGCGCUUCUUGCGCCUUCUUCUUAAUGAAAAUGACACGCCGCUCGUCGUGUUCGAGAAAAAUCAGCAAAGUACCUGCGUUAGUUCUUGUACACACUGUUGGCCACUAAUGUUCAGAUUCUUGUUGUGUUGUGUUUUCUGAAUAUAACUCACCAGCACCCCCAGGUUGUGCUCCCCUGGCUUGCAAUUACUGUUGAAUUUA